rnacentral:lncRNA from 1 species
GGAUUCAGAGUUUGCAAUGGCCAAGCUGAUGCACUAAAAUGAAUGCUGUUAUCGUCUGUGUUGAAUGCGGAGCUUUAACAUCAUUGUUAGUUUAGGCACCAAGGGUAUCUUCUCAAAGGAACAAGAGAAUAUUGUUCAUUCACUCUGGAGUAAAAGCAUGCAGGCACUCAACCUGUCGAAACCACGCUGGGCUGUGCUGAGCUCUGAACUGGAAAAUGCUGACUGCCUCCCUGCAGUUUUGGAUUGCUGAAAAUGAAGGUUCUUAAACAUUUUUAUGUCUCAGAAUUCCAGCAAGAUAAAGAGGAAUGUUCUACCUUUUGAUUCACAUUAGAGUUUAGGCUUAGCACAGAAUUUUUUUUUUAAGUUCACUGUUUGCAGCAUUGGCCUAAAAUGUCACUCUCGACUCAUUUAUUCCAUUUUAUUAUAAACACCCACACCCACAUAUAAAAAAGCAGAAGGAAACACACAUCGGCUACAACUAUUUAACCAAAAUAUCACCUUUAUCAUUCAUAUUGCGUUACCUGUGCUGUGUUUCAAGGUUCUAACAUUUACAUAAUGUUUUUCAACAUGUUAGCUGAUUUCCAUAUAAUAUUAUUUAAAGACCCUUUGAAUCAUCGUUUGAUCUAUUUUUAUAGUGAUCCCAGUAGUCUUUUAAUUAUGAUUCAUUUUUAGCCUAAAUCAAAAAGAAUUCAUUUACUAGGACAUAGUUUCUGCAAAGCGACAGUAAUUAUGCUUAAAACUCACCUCUAAUUAAAACUCAGGAAUGUAAUUUUGAGCUUAUUUUCUUUAUAUAUGAUCUCCAACAUCAGAUAAAGGCCACAAGAACAUGUUAAAAGCAACAGAAACAGGAUUUUUCGCAUUAUUUUUAAAUUCUACUCCAAACAUUUACAUUAGGUUUCUGUUGCCAAUUUACAGUCCCUUGACUUGUAAAC